GAGAUCUGUUCGUACAAAGUUGCGAUCGUGUCAAGUGAUCGUACAUUUUCGCUUGUAUUCCGCUGAAGAGCUGCACUUUGCGUACUGGAGAAGGAGAGAAAAAGAGAGAAAAGAGUCCAUGAGCGAUUGGUGUGCAUUUUGUUGUUAUUUCCAUGAAUAAAGAUAACAACAACAAGCCUCAUGAAUCGGCAAAGAUAGUGGAGAGCACAGACAGAAAAGGGGAGAAAAAGGCAAUCCACAUUUGGGAGAAUGUUUCCAAUUCGUAUAGCCAUUGCAGAGCAUGUUCGCGGCCGCUAACAGUCGUCAGCGGUAGUCAGUCUGGUUCAACACAUCCACCGGAUCGGGCAGUCUGCCGGUACCGAAGUUGCGUUUGCGUUCAACGCUUCAUUGAUCAGCAGGCACGUGUGCGUGUGUGGUGUGAAAAAUUUUCGAAAAGGAAGAGCUAAACGUGACAGACGUGCCGAAGAUUGUGAAAGAAAGGCACGGCUAGUGAAUCACGUUGUAGUGGAUGCCUUUUCAAAGCGCAUACUUUAGUGAGUGAGCUAAUGAAGCGAAGAAAUCAGAAGAAAUGAACACAAAUAAAUAAUAACAUAGAAUUACAACCGUAGUGAACUUGAAGUUGACGUGAGGAAAAAUAAAACCCAUCUCAGCAGUGAGAAGUGUGUACGGCAGGGAAUACUGUGGCAUGGGACGGAGUUCUAAGAAUCUACAGUCCUAUCGGUGAACACGAUCUUGACAAUUUGGAGAACGACCAAGCCAUAACAAUAAAAGUGCCAACAAGUGUUUAUUUUUUCUCCUGUUCCCGCCCUCUUACACAGCCCCUUGCGUCAACGGUGAAUCAAGCCGACACGACAGCCAAGGAAACGGAUGGAAAUUUAAUUCGUUUCAAUUGAUAGUUUGACAUUUUCAAGCGUAGAGUAAGAUACAGAUAACAGUGUUGAGAGUUCGUGUUCCCUCGACUGAUCGAAGUGUGUGCAACAUGCUGAUGGUUUGCAGUCGAAACGCGUGAACGGUGGGUUCGAGUACGGUGAAGUUCUAUUUCUUGCUAUUGGACACAAGUGUCAAUACUUGGAAUUGUGUCAAGCCAGCAGAUGGUCGUGAAGUUGUUACCAGUGGUGUGCGUGGGAUAGUUCGACGAUGGAACCGAGAGUGAUCUUCCUGAAGCCGAAGAACAGACGAAGUGGUAGUUUUACUAACAGAGGUGAGUCUUCCAUCCAGGUGAAAUAACAUCAGCUCUGACAGCUAGGCGCGUGUUUCGAUCAGCGAAUGACCUUCAUUUUUUCGCUCUCUCGUUCGGUUUGAGAAGUUUAUCCUAAGACAUCUGAACUGGUCUACAUAAUUAUGGGAAAUACGUGCGUCAAGGGGCAAGUUUUUACU